UACGUAGGGCGCAAGCGUUAUCCGGAAUUAUUGGGCGUAAAGAGCUCGUAGGCGGUUUGUCGCGUCUGCCGUGAAAGUCCGGGGCUCAACUCCGGAUCUGCGGUGGGUACGGGCAGACUAGAGUGAUGUAGGGGAGACUGGAAUUCCUGGUGUAGCGGUGAAAUGCGCAGAUAUCGGGAGGAACACCGGUGGCGAAGGCGGUUCUCUGGGCCGAUACUGACGCUGAGGAGCGAAAGCGUGGGGAGCGAACAGG
rnacentral:rRNA from 1 species